rnacentral:rRNA from 1 species
UACGUAGGGUGCGAGCGUUAAUCGGAAUUACUGGGCGUAAAGCGUGCGCAGGCGGUUUUGUAAGUCUGUCGUGAAAUCCCCGGGCUCAACCUGGGAAUUGCGAUGGAGACUGCAAGGCUAGAAUCUGGCAGAGGGGGUAGAAUUCCACGUGUAGCAGUGAAAUGCGUAGAGAUGUGGAGGAACACCGAUGGCGAAGGCAGCCCCCUGGGUCAAGAUUGACGCUCAUGCACGAAAGGCGUGG